UACGGGGGGGGCAAGCGUUGUUCGGAAUUACUGGGCGUAAAGGGCGCGUAGGCGGCCAGACCAAGUCGAGUGUGAAAUUGCAGGGCUUAACUUUGCAGGGUCGCUCGAUACUGGUCGGCUAGAGUGUGGAAGAGGGUGCUGGAAUUCCCGGUGUAGCGGUGAAAUGCGUAGAUAUCUGGAGGAACACCGGUGGCGAAGGCGGCGUCCUGGACCAACACUGACACUGAUGAGCGAAAGCCAGGGGAGCAAACGGG
rnacentral:rRNA from 1 species